GACGAACGCUGGCGGCGUGCUUAACACAUGCAAGUCGAACGGAAAGGCCCUGCUUGCAGGGUACUCGAGUGGCGAACGGGUGAGUAACACGUGGGUGAUCUGCCCUGCACUUCGGGAUAAGCCUGGGAAACUGGGUCUAAUACCGGAUAGGAGCCAUUUUUAGUGUGAUGGUUGGAAAGUUUUUUCGGUGUAGGAUGAGCUCGCGGCCUAUCAGCUUGUUGGUGGGGUAAUGGCCUACCAAGGCGGCGACGGGUAGCCGGCCUGAGAGGGUGGACGGCCACAUUGGGACUGAGAUACGGCCCAGACUCCUACGGGAGGCAGCAGUGGGGAAUAUUGCACAAUGGGCGCAAGCCUGAUGCAGCGACGCCGCGUGGGCGAUGACGGCCUUCGGGUUGUAAACUCCUUUCGCUAGGGACGAAGCUUUUUGUGACGGUACCUAGAUAAGAAGCACCGGCUAACUACGUG
rnacentral:rRNA from 1 species